GCAGAUGACUACCAGUGCCUGGAGACAGACGGUCAGGUGGUGCAUCCACAGCAGUGACCAGAGGAGGAAUGACAGCUGGGAGGAGCGCAGAGAGAGGCACUGCCAUAGUGCACCUGCAGCAGCCAAAGCGGACACUUUCCUCUGCCCCAGCUGCAGCAAAACAUGUCCGUCCAGUAUCAGUCUGUACACAGACACAGCAGGCGCUGUAACUUUGACAUCACUCGUGAAGACCAAGGCUCCUUUGGGAUCAAGGUCAGGAACUAAUUUUAACAAGCAAAUAUCCAAUUCUGAUUUAUAUGGUCCAUGGGGUCAUGAAGAGUUGGACACAACUAAACAACAACAACAACAACAGACAUCAAUUGAUAUGUUUUCAUGAUUGAAAGUUUAUUUCAUCAUGAAUUAAAAUAUAACAUCUAUAUUAUCAAAAUGAAUUAUUUAUUUGGAUUGCCAUAUUAUGUUUUGAAAUAAAUUAGCAUUUAAACUGUUAUUGUUAAUGAUGUAUUGAUUUGUAUUGAUUUGUAUUUUUUAUUGUUAUGUUAUGAGUGGAAUAGCAGCAUGGAAACUGAAAUAAUAAAAGCAGUUUAUUUAGCAAUUUAA